rnacentral:rRNA from 2 species
UGGGGAAUAUUGCACAAUGGGCGCAAGCCUGAUGCAGCCAUGCCGCGUGUAUGAAGAAGGCCUUCGGGUUGUAAAGUACUUUCAGCGGGGAGGAAGGGAGUAAAGUUAAUACCUUUGCUCAUUGACGUUACCCGCAGAAGAAGCACCGGCUAACUCCGUGCCAGCAGCCGCGGUAAUACGGAGGGUGCAAGCGUUAAUCGGAAUUACUGGGCGUAAAGCGCACGCAGGCGGUUUGUUAAGUCAGAUGUGAAAUCCCCGGGCUCAACCUGGGAACUGCAUCUGAUACUGGCAAGCUUGAGUCUCGUAGGGGGGGGUAGAAUUCCAGGUGUAGCGGUGAAAUGCGUAGAGAUCUGGAGGAAUACCGGUGGCGAAGGCGGCCCCCUGGACGAAGACUGACGCUCAGGUGCGAAAGCGUGGGGAGCAAACAGG